rnacentral:rRNA from 1 species
AACGAACGCUGGCGGUGUGCCUCAUACAUGCAAGUCGUACGCGAAUCCUGCCGCAAGGCAGGGUUUGAGUGGCAAACGGGUGCGUAACACGUAGGUAAUCUUCCUUUGAGUUGGGGAUAAGCCCUCGAAAGGGGGUCUAAUACCGAAUAACACUUCGGGCCGGCAUCGGCCUGAAAUUAAAGAUGGCCUCUGCUUGCAAGCUAUCGCUCGGAGAUGAGCCUGCGGCCGAUUAGUUAGUUGGCGGGAUAAAAGCCCACCAAGACUUCGAUCGGUAGCCGGUCUGAGAGGAUGUCCGGCCACACUGGGACUGAG